AGUCGAGCGGUUUGAUUAGCUUGCUAAUCAGAUAGCGGCGAACGGGUGAGUAAUACCUAGGAAUCUGCCUGAUAGUGGGGGACAACGUGUGGAAACGCACGCUAAUACCGCAUACGUCCUACGGGAGAAAGGGGGCUUUUCGGAGCUCUCGCUAACAGAUGAGCCUAGGUCAGAUUAGCUAGUUGGUAGGGUAAAGGCCUACCAAGGCGACGAUCUGUAGCGGGUCUGAGAGGAUGAUCCGCCACACUGGAACUGAGACACGGUCCAGACUCCUACGGGAGGCAGCAGUGGGGAAUAUUGGACAAUGGGCGAAAGCCUGAUCCAGCCAUGCCGCGUGUGUGAAGAAGGCCUUUUGGUUGUAAAGCACUUUAAGCGGGGAGGAGGGNCACCACGGUUAAUACCCGUGAAUGUCGGACGUUACCCGCAGAAUAAGCACCGGCUAACUCUGUGCCAGCAGCCGCGGUAAUACAGAGGGUGCGAGCGUUAAUCGGAGUUACUGGGCGUAAAGCGCGCGUAGGCGGCUUGUUAAGUCGGAUGUGAAAUCCCUGGGCUCAACCUAGGCAUUGCAUUCGAUACUGGCAAGCUAGAGUAUGGGAGAGGAAGGUAGAAUUCCAGGUGUAGCGGUGAAAUGCGUAGAGAUCUGGAGGAAUACCGAUGGCGAAGGCAGCCUUCUGGCCUAAUACUGACGCUGAGGUGCGAAAGCAUGGGGAGCAAACAGGAUUAGAUACCCUGGUAGUCCAUGCCGUAAACGAUGUCAACUAGCCGUUGGGCCCCUUGAGGGCUUAGUGGCGCAGCUAACGCGAUAAGUUGACCGCCUGGGGAGUACGGUCGCAAGACUAAAACUCAAAUGAAUUGACGGGGGCCCGCACAAGCGGUGGAGCAUGUGGUUUAAUUCGAUGCAACGCGAAGAACCUUACCUAGCCUUGACAUGUCUGGAAUCUUGUAGAGAUACGAGAGUGCCUUCGGGAAUCAGAACACAGGUGCUGCAUGGCUGUCGUCAGCUCGUGUCGUGAGAUGUUGGGUUAAGUCCCGCAACGAGCGCAACCCUUUUCCUUAUUUGCCAGCACUUCGGGUGGGAACUCUAAGGAUACUGCCAGUGACAAACUGGAGGAAGGCGGGGACGACGUCAAGUCAUCAUGGCCCUUACGGCUAGGGCUACACACGUGCUACAAUGGUCGGUACAAAGGGUUGCUAACCCGCGAGGGCAUGCUAAUCUCAAAAAGCCGAUCGUAGUCCAGAUUGGAGUCUGCAACGCGACUCCAUGAAGUC
rnacentral:rRNA from 1 species